UUUAUUUUUCCUGCAUAAUACUUAAAAUGCUGCCAGUGUGGAUGUCAACUUCAGAGUAACUGUUCUAUCUCCAAUGUCCUUCCAUCCUACUCAAAGGCAGCAAAUAUUUACUAUUCUCUCACACACACAUGCCCUUCCUACUUACCUAUCCCACUACGAGAGUUCCUAAGUAUAUCCUUUUCUACCACUGUGUUUAUUUAUGUCUCACUUAAAGAGCUCAACCUUAAAAAACAAUAUUUUGAAUCACUAAAAGUAGUGGCGAGAGGCAAGUUGUCUCCUUUGGCACACUGGUGAGGAGGGGAGGUGGUUACAGGUAGUCAAGGGCUCCCCUGCAUAAGCCCUUUCCAACCAAUCAGGUGUGAUGAGGAAUUCAGACACUAUCCAUGAGGACUAAUGUGGAAAAUAUAACCAAGACGUUCUCUGUGAGGCGAGUUGGGUCUCAUGGACUGUAAUGGAAGGAAUUGGGAACUAGGCCUGGCGGACUGGAUUGGAGUGGAAUCUAUAGCAGCUACAGAAAUACAGAAGCAAAAGCCCCAGGCCAUAUUUAAGAUGAUCCCUCCUGAAGAGCAGAAGACCCUGGCUGAUGAUGAAAACACCCCCCAGAAACGAGCUGACAAGCUGUGGGCAUAUUUUAACAAAGGAGACACUGAUAAACUUGCUGAAGCGGAAUUUAUUUCAGGGGUGAUGAAGAAUGAUGCAAUAAUGAAGCUCAUCCAGUAUGAACCCAAGAAAAAAUAGGAGCAUUGGUGUUAAUAGGAGAAGAGAGCCUGGAUAUGGAGAAAAUGUGUGCUGAAUGCUAAAAAGGAAAAGGAGAAAUUGUAACAACCCUACUUGGUGUGUGUGUGUGUGUGUGUGUGUGUGUGUGUGUGUGUUUGCAUGACAGUGUACAAGGCACGGAAAAAAAAAAGAAUCUGUACAACUAUAAAACAAGUGUGCACCCCUCUCUGCAAGUCCCACUGUUUACUCUGUAAGCAGUAGCCUAGUCCGUUCCUAUUCUCUGAUUUCCCUGUUCUUUGAGAAAUCUUCAGUGGGGGUGUAGGAUGGCAUCUUGGAGCUACAAUACCCAUCCUGUACUGACAUUUGGAAAAAGGACUGGAGAUGGCAGAGGAAAGAUGGGGGAAAAGGAGAAGAAGUUUAGGGAAAGGAGGUGAAAAUUUUAGAGGAUAAAAUGGGGAAACCUCCAUAGAGACUGCACUCUGGGGAAGGAUACAACUGGGAUUAGUAAAAGAAUCAACAAGGACAACAAGCAAGCACCUGAACAUCCACAAGCCCUAUCCAUUAAGAGCCUUCCUGCCUUUUAACAUUUUCAUUUCAUAAUUUAGAAGAGCUCUGCCCUCAGAGGACUUGGGUCCCCAACACACUUUUGUCCCAUUCCUCUCCCAAGUUAUCUAGGAAUCCUGCUUUCUCAGUCAGAACACACAGACAUCUUAGAAGAUUCACAGAGAAUUCUCUGCAUCUCUCUGAACUACAAUUCCCAAAAUCCCCUAAGGGAAGCCAUGACAAUUGAAAUGGUAGAAUAAAACCAAUCCAGCUAGUGUAGAUGCACCCUUAGCUGCCAGCUUCCUUCAGUUUAAGUUCACAACACUGCUAAAAUAUUCCAAUGUAUUUAAAUGAGACUUAGGGGUGACUUGCAGGACCCAUUGUUAGAAAUAAGGCCCACUGAGAUCAGUGGGGUUUGCUUCUUGGUUCAACAGCCUUGGAAUUGUAACCUAAUGAGAUCUGGAUUGAAGUGGAAGAGUCCUGAGGUGGUAGAGUGGAUAACCCUGCUUUGGACUGCAGGUGUGAAAUACAAGGUUGAUGCAUAGAAAAAUCUGAGAUUUGCUGUGUGACCUGAUGUUAUAAGACUGCUAAUGAAAAAUUGGUGCAGGGGGAGAGCACCUGGUACUGCGGUAGAGACUAGGGUUGCCCUAGGGAGACCAAGGAGUCUCUGGACUAGAGAGACCAGAGAGUAUCUGGUACUGGAGUAAAGGGAGCUAGGGUUGCCAACCCUCCGAACUAGCCCAGAAUCUCCAGGAAUCAGUAUCAAUCCCCAGGAGCUUUCUCAGACAGCAGGCUUUGCUGUGGGUUUUCUGCAAGUUCGGAGUUGCCGCAAAAAUCUGAUGCAAAAAGUGGAUUGUUUUUACUCCGGAUAUAAAUUGGGCUACGCUCCAACACAUAGUGAAAAACCCAAAUUGUGUGUGAAGUGUUCCUCGAUAGCUCACAGGGACUUCAAGGUAAGUCUGCCCAAUAUGUGAAUGCACCCCUGCAUUCCAGAAGAGAUGCAAACUGAAAGCCAGGUGCGAAAGUCAGGGUUGGCAACCCUAAAACAAAGCCUGCCCCCACAUGGGGGCGAAAUGGCAUCAUCCAGAUUAAGUUAGUCAUGGCUACGUUCCACUGAAAACAAUAGGACUUAAGUUGGUUAAGCUGAUUAACAGGUGUCAUCGAUUUCAAUGGUGCCCACAGGGUCAUUUUUAGGAAACUGGCAACCCUAGUGAAAUCACAUUUACUAUUUACUCCUCUGGGGAAGCCUAGUCUACACAUUCAGCCACGUGUGGUGGUAGAAUACUGAAAGGGUAGCAGGGAACUAUGCCCCUUCAGCUCACAGGUGGGACCGGGAUGGCAUGGCCCUUCUGUGCGGUGAGGCCAUUGCCUCAGGCAGCAGAUUAAUGGGGCACUAGUGAGGCAGCAAGAUGCCCUCUUGUGCUCCAUUUAAAAAAAAGGAAAAUAGGGGGAGGAGUGUGUACACGAGGGGGAGGAUGGAAUUUGGCACCCUGCCUCAGGUGCACAGAGGUCUUGAGCCGCCACUGAGGUGGGGGAUUGCAUUCUUGAAUGCUCCAAGUGAAAAACAUCCUAUAAACAAUUUUUUUUCUUACUUGUAAGGGUUUGUUUUUCAUGGAGGGACAUUCAAAAACUGCACCCCUCACCUGCAGCCUGAAGUGGUACAGUCCAUUUGACCACCUUAGGACUCUAGCGCCUCAUUCUACUGCACGUGUACACCAGGCCUAAACUUCUCGAGAUCAAGGCCAUUGUGGCCUAUCCUACUGGCCUGCAUUUUCCAGAAGUGAAAGCUUAAUGCAAUAUUUCUCAGUGCGUACAUGCCAUUGUUUUCUGGUUGUACUUCUCUCUCUCUCUCUCUCUCUCUCCAGUCUUACUUCACCCUCUGCAAAGAUCUAUGUAAGAUUCACCUUGCUGAUGCCUCCCUUCAGUUUUGCUUGUUUGAGGAGUGCGGGUGGGUUGGCUAACAAAGAUACAGAGCUGACAUCAUUCACUUCUAGAUGUGGGAUUUGAUGCAAUUUUGUUGCUUUCCUUCCUCUCUCACACUAGCAGAUUUCUUGUUUCUUUAAGAAAGGGGUUAAUUUCUAGAGAGGGAUGGCAGAGAUUAAUUUACUAAAAGGGGAUGUGUUUAAAAUUUAUGUACUGUGUCUGUUUUUCAAUAAAGGGCAUUG